rnacentral:rRNA from 1 species
UACGUAGGGGGCAAGCGUUAUCCGGAUUUACUGGGUGUAAAGGGGGCGCAGACGGCGCGGCAAGUCCGGAGUGAAAUCCCAGGGCCCAAUCCUGGGGCUGCUCUGGAAACUGCCGGGCUGGAGUGCUGGAGGGGCAGGCGGAAUUCCUAGUGUAGCGGUGAAAUGCGUAGAUAUUAGGAGGAACACCGGUGGCGAAGGCGGCCUGCUGGACAGCGACUGACGUUGAGGCCCGAAAGCGUGGGGAGCAAACAGG